rnacentral:rRNA from 1 species
AUGGCAGCCCCGCCACACACAAUGAAUCUGCUAUGCUGGAACUGUCGCGGCUUGGGGACGGACGCGACGGUGGGCGAGCUAAGAUGGCUCGUGAAAAAACAUCGUCCCUCCCUCCUCUUCUUAUCCGAGACGAAUAUGAGGGAUUCCAGAGCUCGGAACUUCAUGUGGUUGCUGGGAUUUACUGGUUCUUAUGCUGUAAGCAGUGAUGGAUUAAGUGGGGGGUUGGUUCUUUUUUGGACCUCUUCCCUGUUAGUCACCUUGAAAGCCUUCUCCAAGCAGAUUAUUGACAUCAUUGUUAAAUUAGAAGAGGGCAUUGAAUGGAGAGCAACUUUUUUGUAUGGGGAACCAAGAAAGGAAUUGAGACAUAUUUUUUGGGACAUGCUUCGAUUCUUAAGAACAACUUGGUCAGGACCGUGGAUAUGUGCUGGUGACUUCAACGAAGCAUUGAGUACAGAGGAGCACAUGGGGGCAAAGAACCGAAAUGAUAACCACAUGAUGAUGUUUCGAGAGUGCCUUGAUGAUUGUGGCCUGGUGGAUUUGGGAUACAUUGGUCCUAAAUUCACAUGGUCCGAUAGACAAGAGGGAAAACGUAAUAUCAGGGUUAGAUUGGAUAGGGUUGUUGCCAAUGGGGAUUUCAUGCAGAUUUUUGAUGAUUGCACAGUAGAGAACAUCAUCGCCACCACUUCGGAUCAUUAUGCCAUUUUGGUGACAAUAGCGAGAAGAGAUGAAAAGGUCUGCAAUGAACCAAUCCAACAGUCCUUCAAGUUUGAAGCAGCAUGGAUGAGAGCCUCUGAUUAUGAUCAUAUGAUUGAGGAAUAUUGGAAGGUGCACAAAGGAGGCAUUACUUCUAUAGAUAACACAUGGUCUGCUCUUAAUAAAUUGUCAUGCAGCUUGCAAGAGUGGAGCAGAGUCUCUUUUGGCUUAGUUAAAAAGGAGAUAAGGAAACUAGAGAAAAGGCUAACUAGUAUCCGUAUAAAUAAUAUUGUGUGCAACAACUCAAACGAAGAAAGAAAUAUAGAGAAGAGACUGAGUGAGUUGUUUGAAAGAGAAGAGAUCAUGGCUAGACAACGGUCAAGGGUAGAAUGGCUCAGGGAAGGAGAUCGUAAUACCUCCUUCUUCCAUGCUCGAGCUUCAGCAAGAAGGAGAAAUAACAGAAUCAAAUUUCUUCGUAAAGUUGAUGGAUCUAGAUGUGAAGACCCUGAGGGCAUCAAAGGCAUGGUAUAUGAUUUCUAUACCUCACUUUUCACCUCUGAACCCUCAGUUUCAAUUGAUGCGGUACUUGAAGCCAUACCAAAGAAAAUUACUGAACAAAUGAAUGAAGCCCUAUGUCGAGAGUACACAAAUGAUGAAAUCAAUGCUGCUCUUUUCCAAAUGGGACCUACUAAGGCCCCAGGGCCUGAUGGUUUCCCGGCACUCUUUUAUCAAAAACAUUGGGACCUACUGGAAGAAGACAUAUGUGCUGUUGUAAAAGGAUUUCUAAUGGGCCAUGACAUUCCAGAAGGUUUCUGCGACUCUGUAAUUGUUCUAAUUCCAAAAUGCAACAAUGCUGAUGCACUUGGUAAUUUCCGACCAAUAAGUUUGUGCAACGUCAUUUAUAAAAUUGCUUCUAAAGUUAUUGCUAAUAGAUUAAAGCCCUAUUUACCAGAAAUAAUUUCGGAACAACAAAGUGCCUUUGUGCCAGGGAGGCUAAUAACUGAUAAUGUACUCAUAGCGUAUGAAUGCCUCCAUACUAUAAGAAAGCAAAAAUCAAAAUGCCCCUUUUUGCCUUGA